ACUGAGCUCCCCUAGGUCCCCCGAGACUGACUGGGGGCGGCCUCCUGGAGGCGACAAAGACCUCGCCAGCCCUCGCUUAGGUGAGCAUCCUGGUUGGGUGGGACUUUACAGAAAUUCCCAUCCUCACCAAGUCCCAUUCUGUCUUUCCAGGUCUUGGGUCUCCGAGGGUCUCCCGGGCUUCCAGCCCUGAGGGUCGCCACCUCCCUUCCCCACAGCUGGGAACCAAGGUAGGCUGUAGGUCCAUCCUGUAAUCCUUGCAUCUAACCAUCAGGGACCCCCACACUUCUGGGAAACAGCUAGGAGUAGAGCGUUCUAAGGCCAUACUCAGAGCAGAGAGAGCACUUCUUGUUAAGAGCCUUGAGAUUGAUUUUUGUCUCUGUCGCUUCUAAGCCGUGUGACUUUGGGUCAGUUAUUAAACCUCUCUGUGCCUCCAUUUUUUCUUCUCUAAAAUGGGGC
rnacentral:sRNA from 1 species